ACACUGUUAGUUUCCGGCACCAAAGAAGGCACAGUGAAUAUUUGGGACCUCACAACGGCCACCUUAAUGCACCAGAUUCCAUGCCAUUCAGGGAUUGUAUGUGACACUGCUUUUAGCCCAGAUAGUCGCCAUGUCCUCAGCACAGGAACAGAUGGCUGUCUUAAUGUCAUUGAUGUGCAGACAGGAAUGCUCAUCUCCUCCAUGACAUCAGAUGAGCCCCAGAGGUAUAGUUUGUGAGUUACUGGGGGCGAAGACAUUUACAGACAUGUUCAUGAUCACUUCAUUUGGGCUUACAUUGGCCAGUUCAACAUAUCCUUCCUUCAUGAUGAAGAAAGGACUAUUUCUAAAUCAUUCUUGCAGGUGCUUUGUCUGGGAUGGAAAUUCCGUUUUAUCUGGCAGUCAGUCUGGUGAACUGCUCGUUUGGGACCUCCUUGGAGCAAAAAUCAGUGAGAGAAUACAGGGCCACACAGGUGCUGUGACAUGUAUAUGGAUGAAUGAACAGUGUAGCAGUAUCAUCACAGGAGGGGAAGACAGACAAAUUAUAUUCUGGAAAUUGCAGUAUUAAGUGCCUUUUCCUCUCCUGAAUAUUAAAUUGAACUCUAUUUAAUGCAUUUUUAAACCAAACUUUUAAACGGACUGGUGAAUGUGCAAUGUUAGUAAUUAGAAGUUUUACCACAUGGAAAAUUUGUGGUUUUAAACUUUCUAAAUCAUGGUGACUUCAUUGAAAGCCAUUAGUUGCUAUUCUCUUAGGGCAGAUAAAAUGCGGCUGUGUUAGGAAAAACAUGUUACACUGUAAGGCAGAUGAUCGUCCCCGUAUGAUGAUUGUCAGAAGACAGGACUAAGUAGCAGAGAAUAGCUAAGA
rnacentral:lncRNA from 1 species